rnacentral:rRNA from 1 species
AAUAUUGCACAAUGGGCGCAAGCCUGAUGCAGCAACGCCGCGCGCGCGACGAAGGCCUUCGGGUCGUAAAGCGCGGUUCGGGGAGAUGAGCACGGACAGUAUCCCCGGGAGAAGGACCGGCUAACUACGUGCCAACAGCCGCGGCAACACGUAGGAUCCGGGCGUUAUCCGAAUUCACUGGGCGUAAAGCGCAUGCAGGCGGCCGCACAAGUUGGAUGUGGAAUAUCCCGGCUCAACUGGGAGGGGACGUUCAAAGCUGUGCGGCUCGAGGGCGGUAGAGGGAGGUAGAAUUCCCGGUGUAGUGGUGAAAUGCGUAGAUAUCGGGAGGAAUACCCGUGGCGAAGGCGACCUUCUGGACCGUUUCUGACGCUCAGAUGCGAAAGCUAGGGGAGCGAACGGG